rnacentral:tRNA from 1 species
GGAGAGGUGGCCGAGCGGCUGAAGGCGCUCCCCUGCUAAGGGAGUAUGGGCUAAUCCCCCAUCGAGGGUUCAAAUCCCUCCCUCUCCGCCA